rnacentral:lncRNA from 1 species
AGGCCGAGUAAUGCUGACCGGAGAAGGAGUGCCGAAGGGGGAGCAACACCGACCGGAGGAGGAGCGCCGAACGGGGAGCAACGCCGACUGGAGGAGGAGCGCCAGAAACGUACCGGGAGUCGCCAGAGAGAUUUGGCCGAGUGGGAGCCGCCGGAGAGAUGAGAGAGACGCCGGAAAAGGAAGAACGAAGCUUCAGCCGAGGAGAGGAGAGCCGAGGAGAGGAGCGACGACGAGCACG